GACGAACGCUGGCGGCGUGCUUAACACAUGCAAGUCGAGCGGAGCGGCGAACGGGUGAGUCACGCGUGAGUAACUGCACCCCUCUCUGGGCUAACAGUUCGAAACGGCUGCCAAUACCGGAUAGUGGGGUAUGACUCGCGUCCUAUCAGCUUGGUGGUGGGGUAGUGGCCUACCACGGCGACGACGGGUAGCCGGCCUGAGUGGGCGACCGGACACAUGGGUGUGAGGUCAGGGCCGAACUCCUACGGGGGGCAGGAGUGGGGAAUAUUGCCCAAUGGGGGCAUCCCGGAUGCGGCAACGCCGGGGGCGGGAUGACGGGCUUGGGGGUGUAAACCGCUUUCAGCCAUGACGCGGGAGUGGCAGAAGAAGCACCGGCUAACUACGUGCCAGCAGCCGCGGUAAUUC
rnacentral:rRNA from 1 species